rnacentral:rRNA from 1 species
UACGUAGGGACCAAGCGUUGUUCGGAUUUACUGGGCUUAAAGGGCGCGUAGGCGGGUGCUCAAGUCCGUGGUGAAAUCCUCCGGCUCAACCGGAGAACUGCCUCGGAUACUGGGCGUCUCGAGUGUGGUAGGGGUAUGCGGAACUAUCGGUGGAGCGGUGAAAUGCGUUGAUAUCGAUAGGAACUCCGGUGGCGAAGGCGGCAUACUGGACCACCACUGACGCUGAUGCGCGAAAGCCAGGGGAGCAAACGGG